CGGGUGGGUAACGCGUGGGUAACCUGCCUUAUACAGGGGGAUAACAGUCAGAAAUGGCUGCUAAUACCGCAUAAGCGCACAGAGCUGCAUGGCUCAGUGUGAAAAACUCCGGUGGUAUAAGAUGGACCCGCGUUGGAUUAGCUUGUUGGUGGGGUAACGGCCCACCAAGGCGACGAUCCAUAGCCGGCCUGAGAGGGUGAACGGCCACAUUGGGACUGAGACACGGCCCAGACUCCUACGGGAGGCAGCAUG
rnacentral:rRNA from 1 species